GAUCUACUCCCUCCGUUCGGAAAUACUUGUCAUUGGAAUGGAUGUAUCUAGAUGUAUUUUAGUUCUAGAUACAUCCAUUUUGGUGACAAGUAAUUCCGAACGAAGGGAGUAUCUA
rnacentral:pre_miRNA from 1 species